GCAAGUCGAACGAGACCUUCGGGUCUAGUGGCGCACGGGUGCGUAACGCGUGGGAAUCUGCCCUUCGGUUGGGAAUAACACAGAGAAAUUUGUGCUAAUACCUUAUAAUGUCUUCGGACCAAAGAUUUAUCGCCGAGGGAUGAGCCCGCGUAGGAUUAGGUAGUUGGUGGGGUAAUGGCCUACCAAGCCGACGAUCCUUAGCUGGUCUGAGAGGAUGAUC
rnacentral:rRNA from 1 species